rnacentral:rRNA from 1 species
CACGUAGUUAGCCGGGACUUCUUAGUCAGGUACCGUCUUUUUUCUUCCCUGCUGAUAGAAGUUUACAUACCGAAAUACUUCUUCCUUCACGCGGCGUCGCUGCAUCAGGGUUUCCCCCAUUGUGCAAUAUUCCCCACUGCUGCCUCCCGUAGGAGUCUGGACCGUGUCUCAGUUCCAAUGUGGCCGUUCACCCUCUCAGACCGGCUACUGAUCGCUGACUUGGUAGGCCUCUACCCCACCAACUAUCUAAUCAGACGCGGGCCCAUCCUGUACCGUCUCGGCUUUUCACACUGUAACAUGCGUUACUGUGCGCUUAUGGGGUAUUAGCAGCUGUUUCCGGCUGUUGUCCCCCUGUACAGGGCAGGUUGCCCACGCGUUACUCACCCGUCCGCCACUAAGUCACUUACUUCUUCCUCCCGAAGGAUUUAGUUGUAAGCGCUUCGUUCAACUUGCAUGUGUUAGGCACGCCGCCAGCGUUCAUCCUGAGCCAGGAUCAAACUCU